GUUUAUUCUGCAUUCUGUCCUUCUAGAGACUACUGUAGUGCUGAUCCCAUAUUUUUGGUUGCCUAGUUGACUUGAGUUGUUUCAACAAAACAAAAAAAUCAAGCUGUGUCAAAUGUAAAAUGUCUCUGUUACACAGGUUGUGAGAGGAACCUAAUGAAAGGAGUGGAUUUUGGGAUAAAUAAUAUGGAUACACAUCGAUUGUCGCCCUUCGUAACUAAUGCAAGUCAGUGCAGGCAGAAAUGCACCGAACAUUACAAUUGCCAGUACUUCACAUUUGUUGGGAAAAAAGCAGGAAUAAAAGACCAAAAUAACAGAGACUUAUGUUUUCUGAUGACCUCAACUGGUGAUAUGCCUGUCACAAUACAAUACCUUGAACAUGCAACCUCAGGUUACUCCCUGAAAAACUGCAGUGGUAUCAUCACCUACUCAGCCAAAUAUUACAGCCUUGUCCUUGAGGAGAAAAACUGGACCGAAGCACAAGAGUACUGCAGACAACACUACACAAACC